rnacentral:rRNA from 1 species
GACGAACGCUGGCGGCGUGCUUAACACAUGCAAGUCGAACGAAGUGGCGAACGGGUGAGUAACGCGUAAUCAACCUGCCCUUCAGAGGGGGACAACAGUUGGAAACGACUGCUAAUACCGCAUACUGAAGGAGGGGAUUGCGUCUGAGUAGCUAGUUGGAGGGGUAACGUCCCACCAAGGCGAUGAUCAGUAGCCGGUCUGAGAGGGUGAACGGCCACAUGGUGACUGAGACACGGCCCAGACGCCUACGGGAGGCAGCAGCGGGGAAUCUUCCGCAAUGGACGAAAGUCUGACGGAGCAACGCCGGGUGAUUGAUGACGGCCUUCGGGUGGUAAAGCUCUGUUAAUCGGGACGCGGUACCGGAAUAGAAAGCCACGGCUAACUACGUGCCAGCCGCCGCGGUAAUUC